UACACACAUGUUGAAAUAUAUUCUGAUAAUACAGAUGCUUUUUUUCUAGUAAAGUUGAUUGGACAUGGUGCAGCAUAAAUGGUGCCAAUAGAUUUGAAUGAUGUCCGAUUACAAAAUGUUGUGGUUCGGUAACCGGAAUGGGUGAAUUUCGUUUUGGUGGAGAGCAAAUAUAAUUGUAUUUUGUGCAUUCUCUCUGUUUAUACGUUCUCCGAAUCUUUAAAGCUGCGUUAAUUUUAAUCAUCCAAAUAUGUGUCUUGUGCAAGAAGGUAUAUAUUUUUUAUCACCGAUUUCAGCAUUUAUUAUAGACAUAUUACUUCUCAACACUUAACAAAAACAUCUUAGUUUAUGCAGGUACUUAUAAUUGUUUAUAAAUCAUAUUACUUACAUAUAAUACACAUAUACUAUAUAAAGACAUCGUCUAAUAUCACCAUAAACUUAUUAAUGCUCGAUAGUAGAAUGUAUACAACCCGAUUCAUAACCCUCCUAGAUUUCAAGGGCUUUCAUUUUACUCUUUUCAGUUUUAGUAUGUUAUUAUUUAGUAAAUUAUCUACAAUUUACUUGACCCACAAAAUUAUAUAUAUUCUGGUAUUUAUAUUAAGCACAUUAAAUUGCAAACUACUACUUGUACUAAAAACCAUCAAGUGUACUCAAAUUGGAAAUAAAUAGGCGAUGGCUAUACAAUAUGACAUAUGUAUAUGUAUGUAUAUCGACAAAUUAAAUAAAACACAUUUAAAUGAGUUGUCAAGUGAGCACCUGGCUUAAGUACCAACAUUAAACUUUUUAUCAAACAUGA
rnacentral:lncRNA from 1 species